rnacentral:rRNA from 1 species
CCCAGCACUGAAGCCCGCGGUCGGAAACGAUCGCCGGGCAAUGUAGUGUUUGGGAGAGCCCGUUUAACCUAAGUAUUUACGAGCGAGUCCAAGUCCUUCUUGAAGGGGGCCAUUCGCCCAUAGAGGGUGCCAGGCCCGUAGUGACCGUUUGUAUAUUUGGGUGGGUUUCUCCUUAGAGUCGGGUUGCUUGAGAGUGCAGCUCUAAGUGGGUGGUAAACUCCAUCUAAGGCUAAAUAUGACUGCGAAACCGAUAGCGAACAAGUACCGUGAGGGAAAGUUGAAAAGAACUUUGNAGAGAGAGUUCAAGAGUACGUGAAACUGUUCAGGGGUAAACCUGUGGUUCCCGAAAGUUCGAACGGGGAGAUUCAAUUGCCUCGCCGGUUAUGACCAUUUAACAGUGUGUUAUUAACGAGACAUUAUAUGCGUGCGGUUUACGCCGUAGCAGUUAUAUAGUGCUCCGCUGUUUUAUGUUAUUGUUUGUAGCCGGAGGCGUGCACUUCUCCCCUUGUAGGGCGUCAUGACCCAUUGGGCCGUGUAUUUAAAUGUUGUCUAAGGCUCAGAAAGGAGACCGUGGCGUCAAGUUUCGGCUUGUGCGCACCGGACUUUCAGAUGUCCCGACAUCUGCCCGAUGGUAUAAUUAUGAUGAUGGACCGCUAAAUUUAUUUAGUGAGCGUUUUUGAUCUGUGACAAAUGCUUAUACGAUUNAUUGUGGAAAACGGAUUAUANGCCGUUUCUGCACGUAUGGUAUUGUUAGUCANGGUAUAUUCUCAAACCGUUUCUUAUCAUCAGUCAAUGGCGUUUAUGUUUUGGGUAAUUACAGGACCCGUCUUGAAACACGGACCAAGGAGUCUAGCAUGUGCGCGAGUCAUUGGGACUCUAUUAAACCUAAAGGCGUAAUGAAAGUGAAAUAUUUUUUGAAUAUUUUUAUUCAUUGAAUUUGAGGGAAGAUGGUUAACGAUAUUUAUGUUAACCCGCAUUCCCGGGGCGUCGCGUA